rnacentral:misc_RNA from 1 species
GUCAUCACCAACCAUGGGUCGCCGUCCCGCUCGUUGCUACCGCUACUGCAAGAACAAGCCCUACCCCAAAUCCCGCUACAACCGCGGUGUUCCCGACUCCAAGAUUCGUAUCUUCGACCUCGGCCGCAAGCGCGCCUCCGUCGACGAAUUCCCGUUCUGUUGCCAUCUCGUUUCCGAUGAGUACGAGCAGCUCUCCUCCGAGGCCCUCGAAGCUGCCCGUAUCUGUGCCAACAAGUACGUCACCAAGACAUCCGGCAAGGAUUCCUUCCACUUGAGGGUCCGCGUACACCCCU